UGCGGGUCGUUUUUUGGGGACGCACUGUGUUGGACUUUCUUCCUGUUUCUGUGGACUUCCUUGCUCUUCCAUCAUCCAAUUUUCCAUCUCUACAAGACUUUGAUCACGAUCACUCUAAUUCCGAGAGCUAAAACUGCGAUCUAGAACAACAAUUAGACGCUGGGAGAAUCAAGAAUGGAGAACGCUGACGUCUUCCUGGGUUUGCACGACUUCCUUGAGCGCAUGCGCCAACCAUCAGCCGCCGAUUUCGUCAAAUCCAUCAAGAGCUUCAUUGUCUCUUUUUCAAACAAUGCUCCUGAUCCAGAGAAGGAC
rnacentral:misc_RNA from 1 species